rnacentral:rRNA from 1 species
UACGUAGGGUGCGAGCGUUGUCCGGAGUUACUGGGCGUAAAGAGCUCGUAGGUGGUUUGUCGCGUUGUCCGUGAAAACUCACAACUCAAUUGUGGGCGUGCGGGCGAUACGGGCAGACUGGAGUACUGCAGGGGAGACUGGAAUUCCUGGUGUAGCGGUGGAAUGCGCAGAUAUCAGGAGGAACACCGGUGGCGAAGGCGGGUCUCUGGGCAGUAACUGACGCUGAGGAGCGAAAGCGUGGGGAGCGAACAGG